rnacentral:rRNA from 1 species
CUGGACUAGAAUGUGAGGGAAUGUCGGGUAAUGCCGGCAGUCCGGGAAACCGGACCCAAAACAAGGUGCUGCAUGGCUGUCGUCAGCUCGUGUCGUGAGAUGUUGGGUUAAGUCCCGCAACGAGCGCAACCCUUAUCAACAGUUGCCAUCAUUAAGUUGGGAACUCUGUUGAGACUGCCGUUGAUAAAACGGAGGAAGGUGGGGAUGAUGUCAAGUCAUCAUGGCCUUUAUGUUCAGGGCUACACACGUGCUACAAUGGACGGUACAAAACGUCGCAAUCUCGUAAGAGGGAGCUAAUCGCUAAAACCGUUCUCAGUUCGGAUUGAAGUCUGCAACUCGACUUCAUGAAGUUGGAAUCGCUAGUAAUCGCAAAUCAGCAUGUUGCGGUGAAUA